GGCCAGACUCCUACGGGAGGCAGCAGUGGGGGAUAUUGCACAAUGGGGGGAACCCUGAUGCAGCGACGCCGCGUGGGUGAAGAAGUAUUUCGGUAUGUAAAGCCCUAUCGGCAGGGAAGAAAUUGGACGGUACCUGACUAAGAAGCCCCGGCUAACUACGUGCCAGCAGCCGCGGUAAUACGUAGGGGGCAAGCGUUAUCCGGAUUUACUGGGUGUAAAGGGAGCGCAGGCGGCACGGCAAGCCUGAUGUGAAAGCCCGCGGCCCAACCGCGGGACUGCAUUGGGGACUACCGGGCUGGAGUGCCGGGGAGGUAGGCGGAAUUCCUAGUGUAGCGGUGAAAUGCGUAGAUAUCAGGAGGAACACCGGUGGCGAAGGCGGCCUGCUGGACUGCAACUGACGUUGAGGCCCGAAAGCGUGGGGAGCAAACAGGAUUAGAUACCCUCGUAUC
rnacentral:rRNA from 1 species